UACGUAGGGGGCAAGCGUUAUCCGGAUUUACUGGGUGUAAAGGGAGCGUAGACGGCAGCGCAAGUCUGGAGUGAAAUCCCAUGGCUUAACCAUGGAACUGCUUUGGGAACUGUUUUGCUGGAGUAUGGGAGGGGUAAGCGGAAUUCCUGGUGUAGCGGUGAAAUGCGUAGAUAUCAGGAGGAACACCGGUGGCGAAGGCGGCUUACUGGACCAUAACUGACGUUGAGGCUCGAAAGCGUGGGGAGCGAACAGG
rnacentral:rRNA from 1 species